AUUUAACAAUUUAUUGCUAAUCAGAAAUAGUUAAUGAUUUGUAAAAAUCAUUAUCAUUUAACUCCAACGUAUCAUUGGUUAAGCCAUCUAAUUUUGAAAAAUUUAUUAUCUAGAUAUAAUUUAUAUAAAAUAUUAAUUUUAAUAGAAGUUAAAUAUUUUAUUGCUCAUGUGAUUAAUGUUAAGAUUUAUUUAGACAUUUUGAGAUUAGAAUGCAUCAUUGCUGGAUCUAGGGUGAGGUGAGUGAGACAGUUGCCUUAGGCAAAAAUUAUGACGGGGCACAAAAAUGCAAUUGCAAUUUCACACACAAGUUUAAUUAUAUUUAUCUUGAUAAUAUUUUGUUCUGUAGAGCCAAUCUAAAAAGACAUAAUGGUUUAUUUUCCUAAUGCAUAAUACGUAUCAAGGGAAAGAGAAACCAAUGCCAAUUAAAUUGAU
rnacentral:lncRNA from 1 species